GGCAGCCUGAAUGGACAUGCGGUCGCCGCCGCUCAAGGAGCACACUUAAGUGUGCGCAAAUGCGUGCGGGUGUGCACGGGCGCCACAACAGCUGCGGCGGCAAAAUGUGUUGGGCGCUGAGGAAUCAUGUCUGGACCAGAAGGCCCAGUUGAACAGUUCAAUGGAUGCCAAAAAAUUCGAAACAAUCCAAAAUGGUUGCUUGUUCUCAUACUGUCUAAGCCACGCCCACAACUUUGCCUAGGUCAUGUGACAAUUAAUUGAACUGAAUUCAACUAGAUAGUGUGCCAAGAGUGCCACAAAUAUGGAAGGCAGGUCGAAAGGUCACAGUGAUAUAUUGGUCCAAAUAUGUGUGACAAAAAGACCUGACCAAAUGUCAAAUAAAAAUGAUCAAACCAA